UCUCCCCUCUCCCUUUCUCACUUAGCAGCUCUCUCCUGGAUUCAUGAAUAGUUUUAAACCAGUUGGAGAUAUUUUAUGCGUAAACAUAGAACUCUCAAAGAUAUACGGUCUCUAGACACUAAACUGUCAUCACAACCACAUGUUAUAGUGUUUAUUUUCCCCUGCCUAGCCAACCCCAUCGAAACCACACCCUGCUCUGCCAAGCCACAGCCCCACCCUGCCUUUGGAAAUAGAAAUGGAAUAGGAGAAUCUCUGGCUUCUGGGGAAAAAAAAAAAGAUUUUUAAGUAACUAACAUGAUGUUUCUGGAGAAAUCAGGAUACAACUGACAGGACUGAUGAAAACUUUAUAAAGUUUCUUCACAUAAUAAAGCCCAUGGAGAUGAUAGGAGAUAGUGAUAUCAAAUUAUAGAUACUGUCAGAGACAAUUUUUAAAUGACUAUUUCUAGUCCAUACCUAACUAAAGUGCCUAUCCUUGUAAAUGUUUAACUUUUAGCCACUUAGUUUUUAAUAUUCCAGAAAUAUACAUUAAAAAUAAUAUAAUGAUGAUUAGAUAGCAAUGUUACACUUGAACUUACAUCAUCCCUUAUUUCAGAACCUGUGAAAAAUAGUCUUAGGAAAUAAAAAAGGAUAUUUCUUCCAUGGCUAGAAGAAUUGAAAUCAGUAUCAGUUGUAAGGACAUAAGGACAAAUUUUAAUUUGAUUUUAAAUGCAUACUUGCAAAUCAAGUUUGCAAAAUUUAAAACCACAUGAAGACUUAUAAUCACAGUAUUUAUGAGCUGGAAGAACAUUGAGACCUUCAUUUAACAGUGAAGUGAAACUCAGAAAGAUCAAAUGACCAGGCGAAGGUCACAUUAGUACUGGAGCUUAGAACUAAACCUCUGGUCUCCUGGUUGACGGUUCCAUGCUUUUCUCAUCACUUUCUGCGUUUAUGAGACCCUGUAAUUACCUGCAGCUUUCAGUCAUAUGUGCCAACCCAGUCAUGUGGUAGACUGGAAUAUAAAACGAUCAGUCCAUUAACUGAGACACUGCUUCAGGAAUCAUAGUAUUCAUUGUUAUGUCAUUGUUAUAGUCAUUGCUAAUAUUUGUUGAGUAUAUGUGUCAGGCAUUAUAUGUAUUACUUGCGUCAACCUAUUUAAUACCCACACU
rnacentral:lncRNA from 1 species